CAGUAGCCGCGGGAAUACGAAGGGGGCUAGCGUUGUUCGGAAUUACUGGGCGUAAAGCGCACGUAGGCGGACAUUUAAGUCAGGGGUGAAAGCCCUGGGCUCAACCUGGGAAUUGCAGUGGAUACUGGGUCACUAGAGUGUGGUAGAGGAUAGUGGAAUUUCCGGUGUAGCAGUGAAAUGCGUAGAGAUCGGAAGGAACAUCUGUGGCGAAGGCGACUAUCUGGGCCAACACUGACACUGAGGCACGAAAGCGUGGGGAGCAAACAGGAUUAGAUACCCCUGUAGUCCCUGUCUCUUAUAC
rnacentral:rRNA from 1 species